rnacentral:lncRNA from 1 species
GGGGAGGAGGAGGAGGAGGGGGACGACUUGGGGAGAGGAGGAGGAGUGGGAAAGGGGGAGGAGAAGGAGAGAGAUGUCUACUCUGUCGUGUCACCAUGGGGAUGGCGAUGUAGUACACAUAGACUGGUGAGGUAGUACACAUGGAAUCAGCAUGACUAAUGGAAUCAGGAUGUUGACUUUGUAACAAAGUGAAAGAGACGCUAUAGCAACGCUGUAACGACGCUAUAGCAACGCUGUAACGACGCUAUAGCAGCGCUGUAACAACGCUAUAGCAACGCUGUAACGACGCUAUAGCAACGCUGUAAUGACGCUAUAGCAACGCUGUAACGACGCUAUAGCAACGCUGUAAUAAUGCUGAAGCAGAGCUAUAGCAAUGUCCACGCUACAUACUGAGAACACAAAUACAUCUGCUGAGAAAACACCUUCAUGUGCUGACUGACUGUCUGUCUGUUUGACUGUCUGACUGACUGUCUGUCUGUUUGACUGUCUGACUGACUGUCUGUCUGUCUGGAUGUCUGUCUGUUUGACUGUCUGUCUGGAUGUCUGUCUGGAUGUCUGUCUGACUGCUGGGAUGUCAGAGAGAGACAGGUUGGAUCAGGCAGGGUGCUGGGAUGUCAGAGAGACAGGUUGAACCAGGCAGGGUGCUGGGAUGUCAGAGAGACAGGUUGAACCAGGCAGGGUGCUGGGAAGUCAGAGAGACAGGUUGAACCAGGCAGGGUGCUGGGAAGUCAGAGAGAGACAGGUUGAACCAGGCAGGGUGCUGGGAUGUCAGAGAGACAGGUUGAACCAGGCAGGGUGCUGGGAUGUCAGAGAGACAGGUUGGACCAGCCGUGACAUGAUCGUAGCCUAGCCUCAUCUCCUAUGAGAUCUCCAGUCAUAAAGGAAGCAGCCUUCCCAGAGCACCACUACCUACCUACAGCCCUACCAGAGCAGUACUACCUA